rnacentral:rRNA from 1 species
AUUGAACGCUGGCGGCAGGCCUAACACAUGCAAGUCGAACGGUAACAGGAAACAGCUUGCUGUUUCGUUGACGAGUGGCGGACGGGUGAGUAAUGUCUGGGAGACUGCCUGAUGGAGGGGGAUAACUACUGGAAACGGUAGCUAAUACCGCAUAACGUCGCAAGACCAAAGAGGGGGACCCUCGGGCCUCUUGCCAUCGGAUGUGCCCAGAUGGGAUUAGCUAGGAGGUGGGGUAACGGCUCACCUAGGCGACGAUCCCUAGCUGGUCUGAGAGGGUGACCAGCCACACUGGAACUGAGACACGGUCCAGACUCCUACGGGAGGCAGCAGUGGGGAAUAUUGCACAAUGGGCGCAAGCCUGAUGCAGCCAUGCCGCGUGUAUGAAGAAGGCCUUCGGGUUGUAAAGUACUUUCAGCGGGGAGGAAGGGAGUAAAGUUAAUACCUUUGCUCAUUGACGUUACCCGCAGAAGAAGCACCGGCUAACUCCGUGCCAGCAGCCGCGGUAA